UUCUAGGAGACCAGAGGAAUGUGUAUAGCAUCAAGAUACUAUGCCAUUUCUGCGGAUAAAAGGAACCAGUCCUAAUUAUUACAUCAGACCAGAGGGAAAGGACUGAUUUGCAAAGAAAAGUUCGGUAUGGGACCUGAGCUGGAUGCUUAAAAAAAGAAAAAAAAAUGCGUGUGGACAGGUAGGGGCUUGGAGACAUCUGUUACUCCCAGAGCUGCAGGAAGGGUUCUAGAGACAGAGGUGAAGGAUGCAAAGACAGACUUGGGGGAAAAGGUAGCGUCCACACGGAUAAGGGACCUGAAAUGGCAGGUCUCACUGACUGCUACUCUCCCAAGGGGCACGGUUAGCACAAAAGGCGGUGAGACGUAACUUGUACGCGGAAACUUCUGCCAGACCCAGGCUCAGGGCAGCCAGGAUAAGGAGCAAGAGCAGAGCAGAUGCAGCUCUCGGCCCAAAGGCCAGGAUAAAAUGCUUGGAAGUGAUUUAUUUAUAAGAAGAGCUCCCACUCUCUGGCCUAAAGACCAACAGCGGAAAGAAACUGAACACAAAUCGCAGGAUUUAAACUGGAGGCAAACAAAUGGAGAAGGUGUGCUCCAUGGCAUGUCUUCACUCUCCAGCAGCAGUAAAGCAGUGGUUAUGAAAGGAUGCCCUCAUCAGCAACACUUGGGAACUUGUCGGCGAUGAAAAUGCUGGGGGUGGGGGCCAGCAGUGUUUGAACAAGCCCUCUUGUGAUCCUGAUGUCAAAAGUUUGAGAACCACUGAAUUAGGGAGGCAAAGAAGAGGGUCGAGCCACUUACUACAUUACAGUCUGGUCAGGAGGGUGACGCUGGCUUGAAUUGAGAUUGGCAUCAUGUGAAUUGGUUGGAGGAGUGCAG